rnacentral:lncRNA from 1 species
UUUAAGCCUCCAAAAUUAAGAUGCCCAAAUCUCAAGUGCCAAAGUCAAGAUGAAUCUUUAAAACAAGCUUUUAAGCAUUUAGCGACAUCAUUUUGAAUGCUUAACGCAAACAUUCUAUUUCUUGUCAUAGGGACUUUGGCAAUCAAAUUUUCUCUAUGAUCUCUUAUUGAAAGACUAUGAUCCUUCAAAUGAAUAUCAUAGCCCUUCUCUAAGAGUUGUCCCAAACUUAAAAUGUUAUUCUUCAUAUUGGGCACAUAAUAGACAUUUGAGAUAAAC